ensembl:lncRNA
CAACAACAUCUCCUACCAAACCACUUUAACUGGAGGACCAAAAUCUGCAUUAUUUUUCCUCCAUAUGCCGUGUUUUCACUUGCUGUCGUAUCAGACACAGCUAAAGGACUGAACUGUUGCACAUGUGUGAGAAUGAUGACUAUAAUUAAUUUAAGGCACGUGUAAUUGCAUGAGGUAAUGACCUCACAGCUUCAGUCUCGUCACAUGAACAGCUUAAUUAUUGGCUGUAGAAUGACAGACGGUGUCCUGCAGAUGAUCAGACACGGACUGUGCUGAAGACCAGCCUGACUCUUAACCAAAGGACCGUAUGAAGGAGGUGAAGAGUGUGAUCCCACGUUAACAGCCAGCGUAUGAUCAGAUCUCGAGAUUGAGCAGGGAAAUUGAGCAACGUGAACCCGGCAGCCACAGGUACUGGAAGUAAGGAGCAGCGUUCAGCCUUUGCAGCAGAGGGGCAGCAUCGGAGUCGCCGUGGCUCCGGCUGGCGAGCAGGCGGGCGGG